CCGACAUCAUUCUGAAGGUACCUUGAUGAUUCCAUCGCUGGUGGUGAUCAAGUAGAUACCUGAUAAGGUUCUGCCCAUCUAAGGAAGAAGUGGAGCUGCCCAAACCUCAAAGGUUAUACAUGCAACAAGGAGAAUCUAGGAAAUUGGCAACUGGUGCACAAGAUUCGCCUCCUGCCCUGCUCUUUCGGUGGCUGAUUCUUCUUCGACUCCGCUGUAGGCGUCAAGUCUCUCCUCUGCUCCCUCAUGCCUGUGUGCCCAUGGCCAUCGAGUUGUGCCAAGUCGAUUGGGAUGCCUGCAUUGAGCCACUCAUUAUGCUGAUCAGCAGCAUCUAGCCUAACUGUGUGCCAGGCAAGAAGAUGCAUGUGGAGCAUUCUGUGGACAGUGGGAACUUGCUGGCCCCCACAUACCUCCUUGACCAUGGUGCUAAUAUCAGCCAGGAAGGGGAAGAAGGGGCCACUGUUCCCGGCUGCAAAAAUGUGAUGAGCAAUGUGGUGAAGCAACAACCAAACUCCAAGGUAGGGCGCGCCCUAUGAUAGCGAAAUGAUGACAAAGGUGAAUGGGUCCUGGUGAACAUCCCAUGAUUGAUGCUGCUUUCAGGACCAUGGUGCUGUCUGGCACAAGUUUGGCCAGCGAAGCAGUUUUUCCUGCUCCGGCGAUCACUCUGACGCCUCCUGUUCUGCCCCUCCAGUGGUUGCUUCCUCUUCGGUUCCGGCAUAGCCCCUGCUACAAAUUUUUGAGGGCCCUCAUCACCAACUAUCGAAGACAUAUGGCGCCCUGGAUGCAGUUGAUCCAUCCAUCCGUCUCCAAGAGGAAGACGUGGAGGAAUGAAAGAAGAUGGCGAUCUCUAUGAGCUGAUGCAGUUGAUCCAUCAGUCCAUCCACAACUGUUCAUCAGAGGAGAAGGGCCUCUUCUCUUCAUCAACACCAAGAGCAACCACGACCCAGCACUCAAGCACAGGUACCCCUUAUUCAUCCCCACCAAAUCUUAAUCUAUUAUACCAUUACUACCAAGACUAGGAGUGGGAGGUGCAUACAUAUAUCAUUCAGAAUUAGGAUGACCAUACAUUUGUUGGUACGAACGAUGCUUUGAUUUGUCAUUUCUAGUAGUAUGAUCCUCAAAUGAAGUGGCAUGGGAUAAGCAGGUAGUGUAAAGUAGUAUGUCUUGACCUUGACAUAAAGAAGUUGAUUUCUUGCUUAUAACAUUUUAUUCAGCCCGAAAACAUCCUUGAUGUGCUCUUUUUUUUGUUGCGCAUGAGCAACUGGCUGGAUGCCGGAAGAAGCAAAGAUAUCGCUGCUGAAGCAGCACCUUCAAACAUCCAGAAGAGACGGCCUUAGAAGACUAUUGAUCACUGCUUUGUUUGAGGAGAGAUGAAGCUUCUUAUCCUUCCUGGUGGAAGCAGUUCCCCAAGCGCUGGACUAUCGUCGUCCUCUGCUUGCUUCUUCUCCUUCCUGCUCUGCAACAUGGACCUUUUGCGAUGAGUACAAAGUGGUUGGUGAAGUGGCUACGGAUAAGAUCAAAAUCCUGCGAGCACUACUUUGUCACCACCCAGGUUUCUGAUCUCAGGGCGAGGCUACAGGAGGUAUGAAGAAUGGCCAUGCUUUUAUAUUCAACAUAAGGAAGGUUUGUCUUGGUUCAUUCAACCUGAAGAAUGACAACACAUGGAACGACCAACUGUGAGAAGUGGAAGCUUAUUUAGUUUGUGGUGGCGUUGGGUUAGCUUGUUAGCUGUGUUUGGCUUUUGUUGAGGAAAAGAUUUGGUCGGAUGAUGAUAUGGAACCUUUCAUCCAAUCCAGUGUAAUGACUUGACUUGCGAGUGCAUGAAUGAAUUUUGUAAUGAA